GGAGCCGACUGGAUGACCGCGGUCCUUCGGGGCUGAGGAAAGUCGGGGCUCCGCAGGACAGGGUGCUGGCUCACGCCAGUCGAGGUGACUCGCAGGAAAGUGCCACAGAGAACAGACCGCCGGUGGGCUCGCCUCGCCGGUAAGGGUGAAACGGUGCGGUAAGAGCGCACCAGC
rnacentral:RNase_P_RNA from 1 species